rnacentral:rRNA from 1 species
AUACGUAGGUGACAAGCGUUAUCCGGAUUUACUGGGCGUAAAGGGCGUGUAGGCGGUCUUGCAAGUCAGAAGUGAAAUUCCCGGGCUUAACUUGGGCGCUGCUUCUGAAACUGCUUUACUUGAGUGCUGGAGAGGCUAGUGGACUUCCUAGUGUAGCGGUAAAAUGCGCAGAUAUUAGGAGGAACACCGGUGGCGAAGGCGGCUAUCUGGACAGGAACUGACGCUGAGGCGCGAAAGCACGGGGAGCAAACAGGAUUAGAUACCCUGGUAGUCCGUGCCGUAAACGAUGAAUACUAGGUGUAGGGGGUAUCGACUCCCUCUGUGCCGCAGUUAACACAUUAAGUAUUCCACCUGGGGAGUACGGCCGCAAGGUUGAAACUCAAAGGAAUUGACGGGG